AGGGAGACAAAACAAUGAUUUUGAUGUCUGAGUAAUUUAUUCUUAGGCCGAAAUCCUGUCACCUUAGGUCGAUCGGUACCUCAGCUUUGAAGUUAAGGAUCAGCAGCAAUGUUGAUUGCUUGAUGGAGAUUUUCAGUUCCUAAACUUUGUCUAGGUCACACCCCAAAAGGGAUGAGACUCCUGGGCCAUUAGCUCAGGUGGUUAGAGCGCACCCCUGAUAAGGGUGAGGUCCCUGGUUCAAGUCCAGGAUGGCCCAUUCGGUGUUGGGGGUUUAGCUCAGUUGGUAGAGCGCCUGCUUUGCAAGCAGGAUGUCAGGAGUUCGAGUCUCCUAACCUCCACUGACCGAACUUGAUUCCCAUCUCCAAUUUUUUGGAGUUGAGCUCGAUUGGCGUGUGAUUUAGAUGUGUCCGCUGGAUGACCCCAGCUUCCUGUCAUUUCCAAGUUUUAGGUUGAAGCCUUGAAUUUGGUUGAUAAGAUGCUGGGCUCGGAUCAAAUAAUCAAGCAAUUGAUGAUUUGAUUUGAAGUUCUAGCAGAACCUUGACAACUGCAUAGGUGAGUCUGGAAAAAACAAAGCAUCUUACAGAUGCAUUGUUUUGAAUCCGAUCUUCUGAAAGGGAGAUUGGAUCUAGAACAAUGAAAAUUCUUUUGAGCAAGAGCCGAGACUCUUGAGCGUUCUUUGAUUGGUGUCGAGCCAAUCAGAGUUUGAUCUUGUUUUUAGCGAUAAAAACUUGAAAAUCUGCUUUCAACGGCGGUAAGCGUUCAGGAGGUUAAUU
rnacentral:tRNA from 1 species